rnacentral:rRNA from 1 species
GAUGAACGCUAGCGGCAGGCUUAAUACAUGCAAGUCGAGGGGCAGCGGGGUAGCAAUACCGCCGGCGACCGGCAAACGGGUGCGGAACACGUACAGAACCUUCCUUUAAGCGGGGGAGUAGCCCACUAGAAAUAGUGGAUUAAUACCCCACUAGUAAUAUUGACUGGCAUCAGUUGGUAUUUAAAGAUUUAUCACUUAAAGAUGGCUGUGCGGCUGAUUAGGUAGUUGGUGUGGGUAACGGCCCACCAAG